rnacentral:tRNA from 1 species
GGGCUCCUGGUCUAGUUGGUUAUGACGUCGCCUUCACACGGCGGAGGUCACCGGUUCGAAUCCGGUGGAGCCCA